rnacentral:rRNA from 1 species
CCCCUAGAUGUUCUGGGCCGCACGCGCGCUACACUGAACAGUUCAACAAGUCUUAACCUUGGCCGAUAGGUCUGGGUAAUCUUUGAACGCUGUUCGUGAUUGGGAUAGACCUUUGCAAUUAUGGGUCUUCAACGAGGAAUUCCUAGUAAACGCAAGUCAUCAGCUUGCGUUGAUUACGUCCCUGCCCUUUGUACACACCGCCCGUCGCUCCUACCGAUUGAAUGGUCCGGUGAAGCGCUCGGACCGCGGCCUCUUGACGGUUUUCCGUCGAUUGGCUGUGGGAAGUUCGUUAAACCUUAUCAUUUAGAGGAAGGAGAAGUCGUAACA